GCCAUUAUAGCUCAGUAGGUAGAGCUUUAGCUUUGUAAGCUAAGGGUCCUGGGUUCGAGUCCCAGUGGUGGCU
rfam:chromosome VIII of strain GB-M1 of Encephalitozoon cuniculi (Microspora)